rnacentral:rRNA from 1 species
UACGUAGGGUGCAAGCGUUGUCCGGAAUUAUUGGGCGUAAAGAGCUCGUAGGCGGUUUGUCGCGUCGAAUGUGAAAACCCGGGGCUCAACUCCGGGCCUGCAUUCGAUACGGGCAGACUAGAGUUCGGUAGGGGAGACUGGAAUUCCUGGUGUAGCGGUGAAAUGCGCAGAUAUCAGGAGGAACACCGGUGGCGAAGGCGGGUCUCUGGGCCGAUACUGACGCUGAGGCGCGAAAGCGUGGGGAGCGAACAGG